GUUUAUGGCAAUGCCACCCUGAACAUGUCAGAUCCGGUCUGGUCUCAGAAGCUAAGCAGGUUCAGGCUUGGUUAGUACUUGGAUGGGGGGAUUUUUGCAUCUAUGUUCA
rnacentral:rRNA from 1 species